CCACAAUCUUUGUGUCUGUCUGCUGUAUGUAUGUGGCACGCAAGUCUGCAUGCACUGUGUCUGUUAUGCCAGUUACUCUAACCAGUUUAUUUCUUUUUGUGUGUGUCACAGCUCUGACAAGCAUGUUCUCCUAUGGGACACGAAGUACAUGAAGAGGAAUGAAGAAGCCCAUGUCUGAUGCUCUUCUCCAGGGUGGAGUAUUGAAUUUAUAAGUAAUGAAGUGGCACCUGACACUUGACAAGCUGCUCCUGUUUGCACAGCAACUUCAACAUUGUGUACUGUGACCACUGUCUAGUUCAGAGGUAGGUAACCUUGGGCAGUCCAGAUGCUGUGAAUUACAUCUCCCAUAAUGCUGGCAAACCAUUAUGGGAGGUGUAGUCCAAAACAUCUUGGAUACCGAAUGCGUAUGAAUAAAACGUAUGGUGUGUGUGAAUGGUUAGUAACAAGGGUUGAAGCCUUGACGUGGCGUUACUGCUCACAUGUGUAUUCAUGUGCCAAUUCAACCAAUGUGAGUCACUGUAAUACUUAUAAGGUAACCAAAAGUACUGUGAUUGUGGAGAAUGAAACGCCUGUAUCACCUACACACUGUUUACACUGUGACCGUAUCUCCUAUACACUGCUUACACUGUGACCGUAUCUCCUAUACACUGCUUACACUGUGACCGUAUCUCCUAAACACUGUUUACACUGUGACCGUAUCUCCUAUACACUGCUCACACUGUGACCGUAUCCCAUAAACACUGCUUACACUGUGACCGUAUCACCUAAACACUGCUCACACUGUGACCCUAUCAUCUAAACACUGCUUACACUGUAAGCACAGACAUGCUUUUAUUCAAAAUUGAAAGCGCUCGAUCAUUCUUUCUAUUCUAUGCCUCCAAUCUUCAACAUUGAAAUUGUCAUUUCUAAUAAUAUAAAAUAAGUAAUAUGCUUUCUGGUUACGAUUUGGUGGGUUGUAACUAUAUUUUUUAUUUUUACAGUUCCAGAGGGAAGGAGCAAACCGCUUUGAGGAGUCCCUGUAUAAGAGACUAUUGGAUACUGAAGGGCUGUACUGCAGUGUCGGCUCUAGACUUGGCGAGGCCUUAGGCGAAACGCAUACAUGAGACACCACGGAGAACACCAUUAUUGAAGAAAAAAUAGCAGUUGACUUUGUGUAUAAGAAGCUGUAGAUAUAUUGAUGGUGGAGCUCAGUGGCGUAUCCUGGUUUUGUGCUGCCCUAGGCAGGACAAAACUCAGGCGCCCCUCUCCCCCCCGCCUUCUAAAUACACACACACACACAUUCACUGACAGAUACGCAUACAUUAGCUAACAGAAACAGACACACACACACUCACACUCACUAACAGACACACACAGCCCCCCCAGACUCCUUACCUUUGGUAAUGCUGGGGGGGUUCUCUAUCUCCCUGGGGUCUAGUGGGGCUGCUGGGCUGGUUGCUGGGGGGCGGGAGGGCAGCUGGCAAGGGAGCACUGACUCUGAGCUGUCUGCUCAGCUCCCUCGCGCGCCAGUGACGUCAUGUUCCGGCUCCCAGCCUCACUCUGCGGCGCGCGAGGGAGCUGAGCAGACAGCUCAGAGGAAGUGCUCCCUCGCCCGCCAGCCCAGCAUGUCAGUUAGCCGCAAGGCUAACAAGGCAUGUGCCCUGGGCAUUUGGGGGCGUCUUUUUUUGCCGCCCCCUGGAAAAUCUCGCCCAAGGCAAAUGCCUUGUUUGCCUCGUGGCUAAUAAGUCCCUGGUGGAGCUUGCAGCACUGGAUACACAGAGCUAGUCUCUGUAUACAUCGUUGCAUAGUCUACCUGAGUGUGUGUAUCUGACAGUGAGUAUCCUUGUAUCUGUAUGUAUGUUUCUCUGAGCAUGUGUAUGUUUGUGUACUGACUUGCCUUUGGAACUGAGUUUAUGGCGAAGCUAUGUUUUAUGACGGUGUGUAUAAUGAUUGCCUUUGGGGGGGUGACAGGGUGAGUAAAGGGGUAACUGUGGCAGGGUGAGUGUAAAAGAGCAGGAGGGUGCUAGCGUGUUGAGGGUUGACAGUGUGUAUGGAGGGAGGUGGCAGAGUGUGGAGAGUGGUGACAUAGUGUGAGAGGGGGGGUGAUGAGGUG
rnacentral:lncRNA from 1 species